rnacentral:rRNA from 1 species
CUACGGGUUGCAGCAGUGAGGAAUAUUGCACAAUGGGGGGAACCCUGAUGCAGCAACGCCGCGUGGAGGAUGACGCAUUUCGGUGUGUAAACUCCUUUUAUAUGUCAAGAAAAUGACGGUAGCAUAUGAAUAAGCACCGGCUAACUCCGUGCCAGCAGCCGCGGUAAUACGGAGGGUGCAAGCGUUACUCGGAAUCACUGGGCGUAAAGGACGCGUAGGCGGGUUGGAAAGUCAGGUGUGAAAUCCUACAGCUUAACUGUAGAACUGCACUUGAAACUUCUAAUCUAGAGUAUGGGAGGGGGAGAUGGAAUUAGUGGUGUAGGGGUAAAAUCCGUAGAUAUCACUAGGAAUACCUAAAGCGAAGGCGAUCUCCUGGAACAUUACUGACGCUAAGGCGUGAAAGCGUGGGGAGCAAUCAGGAUUAGAUACCCCGCUAGUC